GAUGAACGCUGGCGGCGUGCCUAAUACAUGCAAGUCGAGCGAACAGACGAGGAGCUUGCUCCUCUGACGUUAGCGGCGGACGGGUGAGUAACACGUGGAUAACCUACCUAUAAGACUGGGAUAACUUCGGGAAACCGGAGCUAAUACCGGAUAACAUGUUGAACCGCAUGGUUCAACAGUGAAAGACGGUCUUGCUGUCACUUAUAGAUGGAUCCGCGCCGCAUUAGCUAGUUGGUAAGGUAACGGCUUACCAAGGCAACGAUGCGUAGCCGACCUGAGAGGGUGAUCGGCCACUCUGGAACUGAGACACGGUCCAGACUCCUACGGGAGGCAGCAGUAGGGAAUCUUCCGCAAUGGGCGAAAGCCUGACGGAGCAACGCCGCGUGAGUGAAGAAGGUCUUCGGAUCGUAAAACUCUGUUAUUAGGGAAGAGCAAAUGUGUAAGUAACUAUGCACGUCUUGACGGUACCUAAUCAGAAAGCCACGGCUAACUACGUG
rnacentral:rRNA from 1 species